rnacentral:misc_RNA from 1 species
GAUGAAGAACGCAGCGAAAUGCGAUAAGUAAUGUGAAUUGCAGAAUUCAGUGAAUCAUCGAAUCUUUGAACGCACAUUGCGCUCGCCAGUAUUCUGGCGGGCAUGCCUGUUCGAGCGUCAUUUCAACCAUCAAGCCCCCGGGCUUGUGUUGGGGACCUGCGGCUGCCGCAGGCCCUGAAAACCAGUGGCGGGCUCGCUAGUCACUCCGAGCGUAGUAGUUACAUCUCGCUCAGGGCGUGCUGCGGGUUCCGGCCGUUAAAAGCCUUUUACCCCAAGGUUGACCUCGGAUCAGGUAGGAAGACCCGCUGAACUUAAGCAUAUCAAUAAGCGGAGGA